GUCCCUGCUUUGGGAAAAAGCAAGUAACUUGAGGACUGGGCUGCAAAAGGAAAAGGAGCCGAGGAAGCCCUCCCCUCUCGCCGCAGCCGCACCACCAGACCGACAACCGGCCGGCUUCCCUCGCCCCCGGCGAGGAGUGAAGACAAGCCGACAAGGCAAAACCAUCGCCUGUACGGUAUCCAACCGCCGUCCCGCCGCACAACCAAGGAUAGGGCGGGAGAGGGGGAUCUCGCUUUCGCUCCGCUGCCGCAUGCGCACCGCCCCUCCUCAUGACACCAACUAGGGCACCACCAGCCCCCUUCUCGUCGACCUCCGCGCGGUGACUCUGCUGAGCAUCAUACCCUUAUAGGGCCCGACCCAUGGAUGUAACUUCGACCGCUGCCGCCUCCGCCUCAGGCGGGGGUAGGUGGUACACGGGCAUGUCCGCGGAUAACAUCAAGGGCCUGGUGCUCGCGCUCUCCUCCAGCCUCUUCAUCGGCGCCAGCUUCAUUAUCAAGAAGAAGGGACUCAAGAAGGCCGCAUCCUCCGGCGUCAGAGCGGGGGUUGGUGGCUAUUCUUAUUUAUAUGAGCCUCUUUGGUGGGUUGGCAUGAUAACAAUGAUUGUUGGAGAAGUUGCAAAUUUCGCAGCUUAUGCAUUUGCACCGGCUAUUUUGGUCACUCCUCUCGGUGCUCUUAGCAUUAUUAUCAGCGCUGUGCUUGCACAUGUAAUGCUGCGGGAGAAGCUGCACAUAUUUGGAAUUCUUGGAUGCGCGCUAUGUGUUGUGGGAUCCACCACAAUUGUCCUUCAUGCUCCACCAGAGCGUGAAAUCGAGUCAGUGACAGAAGUGUGGGAUCUGGCUACGGAACCAGCCUUCAUGUGUUAUGCAGCAGUGGUAAUUGCUAUAGCUGCCAUACUUGUUUAUCGGUUUGUCCCACUUUAUGGGCAGACACAUGUCAUGGUCUACAUAGGUGUUUGCUCUCUCGUUGGUUCCAUCUCGGUCAUGAGCGUGAAAGCUCUUGGUAUAGCAUUGAAGCUGACCUUUUCAGGAACGAACCAGCUUAUUUACCCACAGACAUGGGCUUUUAGUCUGGUUGUCAUCUCAUGUAUCAUUACCCAAAUGAAUUACUUGAACAAGGCACUUGACACGUUUAAUACAGCAGUUGUGUCACCCAUUUAUUAUACCAUGUUCACAUCUUUAACUAUCUUGGCAAGUGUCAUCAUGUUCAAGGUAUGUGUCUCAAUUACUGUAGCUUAUCGUUUCAGCUUUCAUACUUUGGUUGUGAAAUUUGAGCAGGGCACUAAAUAGUGAUUGAGCCAGUGUUCCAAAUCCAAUUUCAAAUGGAGAUUUCCUUGGAUUGCAUUAGACUAAACUGUAAAAGAAGCAGUAUGAGCCUGAGCUUCAGCUUUCAGGACUGGGACAGGCAAAAUCCUACGCAAAUUGUGACUGAGAUGUGUGGCUUUGUUACGAUCCUUUCUGGAACUUUUCUUCUACAUAAAACAAAGGACAUGGCUGAUGGUGGGCUUUCGAUGUCAUCCUCCUUCCGUCUUCCUACAUCUUCUUCGGUGCGCUUCUCCAAACAAACAGAUGAAGAUGGUGAAGGAAUUCCUCUAAGAUCGUCCGAAUCAUUCCGGUCACCACAUUAACGCAUGUUUGCUAAUCAUUAAUUUGCACAGAGUUAGGGGUGGGUAUUAUAUAGAUAAUGCUAUCAGUGAGCUUGUACUAAGGGUACGAUGGAUGGACCCUCUUUUGCUUUGGCAGAAUUGUAUAUGUAUGCCCAACAUCUUGUGGAACUCCCAAUAUAUUUCUCUUGGCUGUCGUGUGUGAUAACUGA